AUACAAAGAAGACCAACAGAUCCAGGGACAAAGGCGUCCAAAUAAGACCUGAGCAGAGCAGAAGGCUGAAAGUGCAGCCUUCAGAAGUCCAAGCAGAAUAUUCAUAAUUGGGAAAAGUUUCCCAACCUCUGCAAUCAACAAAAAGAAAUCUCUGACCUUGUGAACUCACAUUCUAUUACAGAGACAAACGAUUUUCAAACUGAGACUUGGGAAAUCUCAUCAGUUUGCUCAAGUGGGAACUGGAACAAAGUCUUCCUGCCUCCAUCUCCAGGCUUUCUCCCUACAUCGUGAUUAUCUGUGUUG